rnacentral:rRNA from 1 species
UACGUAGGGGGCAAGCGUUGUCCGGAUUUAUUGGGCGUAAAGGGCGCGUAGGCGGCCACCGCAAGUCAGUUGUGAAAUCUCUGGGCUUAACCCAGAACGGUCAGCUGAUACUGCGGGGCUAGAGUGCAGAAGGGGCAACUGGAAUUCUCGGUGUAGCGGUGAAAUGCGUAGAUAUCGAGAGGAACACCUGCGGCGAAGGCGGGUUGCUGGGCUGACACUGACGCUGACAGCGCGAAAGCUAGGGGAGCGAACGGG